rnacentral:rRNA from 1 species
GUGGGGAAUAUUGGACAAUGGGCGGAAGCCUGAUCCAGCCAUGCCGCGUGUGUGAAGAAGGCCUUUUGGUUGUAAAGCACUUUAAGCGAGGAGGAGGCUCCUUUAGUUAAUACCUAAAGUGAGUGGACGUUACUCGCAGAAUAAGCACCGGCUAACUCUGUGCCAGCAGCCGCGGUAAUACAGAGGGUGCGAGCGUUAAUCGGAUUUACUGGGCGUAAAGCGUGCGUAGGCGGCUUUUUAAGUCGGAUGUGAAAUCCCUGAGCUUAACUUAGGAAUUGCAUUCGAUACUGGAAAGCUAGAGUAUGGGAGAGGAUGGUAGAAUUCCAGGUGUAGCGGUGAAAUGCGUAGAGAUCUGGAGGAAUACCGAUGGCGAAGGCAGCCAUCUGGCCUAAUACUGACGCUGAGGUACGAAAGCUUGGGGAGCAAACAGGAUUAGAAACCCGUGUAGUCC